CAGGAAACAAACGCACUAAAAAGAAGAAACAAAGAACUGGACUUCUUUUAGCUCAUUUUCUCACUGUGGAAAUAAAAACAUGAGAUUUAUUUUUCCUGCAUAAUCUCAGCGGCGUCAGUGGCAACUGACUGAUUUCUUUAAAAGACAACUUAACGUCAGGAAGGACAAAGCUCAUUAAUAUCUGGAGAACAUCUGUAGGUAAUUUCCACCUAAAGGCCUUCAAAACUGCAUUUCUGGGCGCCUAAAAACCGACUAACAUGGCUGUGCUGACUUCCCCCUGGGCUGAUCUGGCUCUGUUCCUGCAGGGGAGCAUCACGAUGUCAAACAGUGAUGCAGGCAGCUUUUUUCCAGUGUGGCUGUUUGGACUGAUGCUCUUCCUGUCUGUCUCUCUGCUGCUGCUAGCACUGAUCAUCCUCCUCAGUUGGAAACUCAGACAGGCUGACGCUGAUCUGUUGAAGCUAGCGCAGGACAGAAGCUCCAUCAGUGCCACCCACAGGCAUGUGCACAGAGGACACAGAAGAAAUGCUGGAUCUCAUUUCUGCACCUGACAGUCAUGAACGGACACAUUUUAACACAAAUGAAGGAACACACUCUGUAUAUGAUACUAUGUGCUCCCUCCUGAGGGGCCAUAUCAUGCUGGACAUUGAAGAGUGUAAGGAAAAUAAUGAGCUAACAACUCAUGAACACCAACGUCGUCUGCCUCACCCGACUGACAUGAAUUAAAAAGCAUAAUUUACACAUGGAUUUAACUUUUAUGUAUUAUGUCUAAUAAAUAUGCUGCACACAUUUUCAAUCACACUUCCAAGGAAAUGAAUGAGGAAAUGAAGCGAGUAUAACAAUCCUUUAUUUAAACAGUGUUACACAGGGGGGGAGGAGUGGCUGUGUGGGGGGAGAUACAAGACAUUUAAGCUGCUAGACAGAAAAAACCCUACUGGUGAUCACUGGUUAGCUAACAAAGAGCAAUGAGGCAGCUGGUAGGUUUUCCAAAAUGAGUUUCUUUAAGGUUUCCUUUGUUUGUGUGAGUUUUAUUUUAUUAAUAAAAUAUAAAAACUGUGCUGGUUUCCCGUUUCUCCAGAGUGUGAAACAAAGCCUGAGAUUUAAGUGUUCAGAGGAUCCUCCAAUUAUAACCUGCUAUGACACCAUGUAGAUUUAACGUUCUCUGAUGUGGAUUCACAGGCGUCGUGGUUGGUAAAACCUUUCUUGGUGUAACCUAACGUAACAUGACACAUUUGGGAAAAUCCGAUUCCGCAGCCUCAAAGCUCAUGUGAUUGGUUAAGAGAGCCCAGAAGAACCCGGAAAAGCGGUAAAAGCUGGGGCUAAACGUACAAAAAGGAAAACAGUGGCAGAAAUUUCCAUUUGUAGUGGUUUUCAAAAAAAACAACGACACUGCAACAAUUUUACAAAUAUGCAA